UACGUAGGUGGCAAGCGUUGUCCGGAUUUACUGGGCGUAAAGGAUGCGUAGGCGGACAUUUAAGUCAGAUGUGAAAUACCCGAGCUUAACUUGGGUGCUGCAUUUGAAACUGGGUGUCUAGAGUGCAGGAGAGGUAAGUGGAAUUCCUAGUGUAGCGGUGAAAUGCGUAGAGAUUAGGAAGAACACCAGUGGCGAAGGCGACUGACUGGACUGUAACUGACGCUGAGGCAUGAAAGCGUGGGGAGCAAACAGG
rnacentral:rRNA from 1 species